rfam:Clostridium tetanomorphum DSM 665 contig76, whole genome shotgun sequence.
GGGGGCGUACAUGGUUUCGACGGGGGUAAGUUGUCCCUGGGAAGCGAGUCGAGGGGUCCUGGGCCCGCGUUAAAAAACUGGGAAAAAAAAUAAACGCAAACGAUAAUUUUGCAUUAGCUGCCUAGUUAGCAGCUCGUCAGCCUAAGAGUCCCACGACUUAGGGUCUGGCGUCGACAGUGGGGUCCCGAGCCGAGGAAAGCUUUGACCUAGGAACGGAAAACAUGAAGCUACUGAAACCAGAAGCCUGUCCUUGGGCGCUUGGUAGAGGGAAUGUUAAAAUAAGGACUGCACUCGGAGAUGCUCAGGGGUUACUACUUUCGGACAGGGGUUCGAUUCCCCUCGCCUCCACCA